UGAGGAAUAUUGGUCAAUGGACGCAAGUCUGAACCAGCCAAGUAGCGUGCAGGAUGACGGCCCUAUGGGUUGUAAACUGCUUUUAUAUGGGGAUAAAGUGUGGAACGUGUUCCCUUUUGCAGGUACCAUAUGAAUAAGGACCGGCUAAUUCCGUGCCAGCAGCCGCGGUAAUACGGAAGGUUCGGGCGUUAUCCGGAUUUAUUGGGUUUAAAGGGAGCGUAGGCCGUUUGGUAAGCGUGUUGUGAAAUGUAGGAGCUCAACUUCUAGAUUGCAGCGCGAACUGUCAGACUUGAGUGCGCACAACGUAGGCGGAAUUCAUGGUGUAGCGGUGAAAUGCUUAGAUAUCAUGAAGAACUCCGAUUGCGAAGGCAGCGUACGGGAGCGAAACUGACGCUGAAGCUCGAAGGUGCGGGUAUCGAACAGG
rnacentral:rRNA from 1 species